rnacentral:pre_miRNA from 1 species
UAUCUACUCCCUCCGUUUUGAAUUACUUGUCGCAGGUAUGGAUGUAUCUAGAUGUAUUUUAGUUCUAGAUACAUCCAUUUCUACGACGAGUAAUUUGGAACGGAGGGAGUAUAAU